rnacentral:rRNA from 1 species
AUUGAACGCUGGCGGCAGGCCUAACACAUGCAAGUCGAGCGGAUGACGGGGGCUUGCUCCUUGAUUCAGCGGCGGACGGGUGAGUAAUGCCUAGGAAUCUGCCUGGUAGUGGGGGACAACGUUUCGAAAGGAACGCUAAUACCGCAUACGUCCUACGGGAGAAAGCAGGGGACCUUCGGGCCUUGCGCUAUCAGAUGAGCCUAGGUCGGAUUAGCUAGUUGGUGAGGUAAUGGCUCAACAAGGCGACGAUCCGUAACUGGUCUGAGAGGAUGAUCAGUCACACUGGAACUGAGACGCGGUCCAGACUCCUACGGGAGGCAGCAGUGGGGAAUAUUGGACAAUGGGCGAAAGCCUGAUCCAGCCAUGCCGCGUGUGUGAAGAAGGUCUUCGGAUUGUAAAGCACUUUAAGUUGGGAGGAAGGGUUGUAGAUUAAUACUCUGCAAUUUUGACGUUACCGACAGAAUAAGCACCGGCCAACUCUGUGCCAGCCGCCGCCGUAAUAC